rnacentral:misc_RNA from 1 species
UCCGGUUUGUCACCGGCAGUCUCAUUAGAGUGCCCAACUAAAUGUAGCAACUAAUGACAAGGGUUGCGCUCGUUGCGGGACUUAACCCAACAUCUCACGACACGAGCUGACGACAGCCAUGCAGCACCUGUGUCUAGGUUCCCUUUCGGGCACACUCACAUCUCUACGGCUUCACCCCGCAUGUCAAGCCCUGGUAAGGUUCUUCGCGUUGCGUCGAAUUAAGCCACAUGCUCCGCUGCUUGUGCGGGUCCCCGUCAAUUCCUUUGAGUUUUAGCCUUGCGGCCGUACUCCCCAGGCGGGGUGCUUAAUGCGUUAGCUGCGGCACGGAGGGAGUCGACACCCCCCACACCUAGCACCCAUCGUUUACGGCGUGGACUAC